rnacentral:rRNA from 1 species
GGAGUCUGGGCCGUGUCUCAGUCCCAAUGUGGCCGUUCACCCUCUCAGGCCGGCUAUGCAUCAUCGUCUUGGUGGGCCGUUACCUCACCAACUAACUAAUGCAGCGUAAGCCCAUCCUGAAGUGAUCCAAACGGAUCUUUAGAGAAAAGAAGAUGCCUUCUAAGCUGCUAUGGGGUAUUAGCGUCCGUUUCCAGCUGUUAUCCCCCGCUUCAGGGCGAGGUUGCUUACGUAUUACUCACCCGUUCGCCACUCGGUUAUCAAGCAAGCUCAAUAACCUCGUUCGACUUGCAUGUAUUAAGCACGCCGCCAGCGUUCUAUC